GGUGAGUCGGGUCCUAAGGCGAGGCCGACAGGCGUAGUCGAAUGGAUGAACGGGUGGAUAUUCCCGUACCGGCGGCGUACCGUAAGAGCCGAACGGAUGAGUACUAACCUCCGGUCGCGUGGCGUCGUUCCCUUCGGGGUUCGGUGUCCGCGGUCGUUGGGAGCGUAGUCCUGGUAGGCUAGCGCACAGGGGUGACACGGAAUGGGAGCCGGCCGCGGAGGUGGUUUUCCGUGGUCAAGCACGCAGCCCGUCCCAUAGGCAAAUCCGUGGGGCAUGUAGGGUGAGGUGUGAUGAUGGGCGUCUUUUUUGGCGCGAUAUCCGGUGGUCCAGGCCGUCGAGAAAAGCCUCGGCGCGAGGGGCGUCGCCGCCCGUACCCCAAACCGACACUGGUGGUCAGGUAGAGAAUACCAAGGCGAUCGAGCGAAUCCUGGUCAAGGAACUCGGCAAAUCACUCCCGUGCCUUCGGUAUAAGGGAGACCCCCGGGCGUGAAGAGGCUUGCCCUCGGAGCGUUUGGGGGUGGCACAGACCAGGGGGUAGCGACUGUUUACCAAAAACACAGGUGCAUGCGAAGGCGCAAGCCGCUGUAUAUGCACUGACGCCUGCCCGGUGCCGGAAGGUUAAGAGGAUCCGUCAGCCCCUUUUUGGGGUGAAGCGGUGAAUUCAAGCCCCGGUAAACGGCGGUGGUAACUAUAACCAUCCUAAGGUAGCGAAAUUCCUUGUCGGGUAAGUUCCGACCUGCACGAAUGGCGUAACGACUUCCCCACUGUCUCGACCAGGAGCUCGGCGAAAUUGCAGUACGAGUAAAGAUGCUCGUUAAGCGCAGAAGGACGAAAAGACCCCGGGACCUUUACUAUACCUUGGUAUUGGCAUUAGGCGCGGAUUGUGUAGCAUAGGCGGGAGGCUUCGAAGCAUGGGCGCCAGCCCGUGUGGAGCCGCAAGGUGAAAUACCGCUCUGUUCUCGUUUGACGUCUCACCUCGAACAGUCAUCCUGUUCAGGGACAGUGCCUGGCGGGUAGUUUAACUGGGGCGGUUGCCUCCCAAAGAGUAACGGAGGCGCUCAAAGGUCCGCUCAGCCCGGUUGGCAAUCGGGUUUCGAGUGUAAUCGCACAAGCGGGCUUGACUGCGAGAACGACGGUUCGGGCAGGGACGAAAGUCGGAGAUAGUGAUCCGGUGCCGGCGCACGGGCGCGGCAUCGCUCAACGGAUAAAAGGUACCCCGGGGAUAACAGGCUGAUCAUUCCCAAGAGUCCAUAUCGACGGGAUGGUUUGGCACCUCGAUGUCGGCUCGUCGCAUCCUGGGGCUGGAGCAGGUCCCAAGGGUUCGGCUGUUCGCCGAUUAAAGCGGCACGCGAGCUGGGUUCAGAACGUCGUGAGACAGUUUGGUCUCUAUCCUCUGCGCUCGUUGGAAUGCUGAGGAGGCCUGCCCAUAGUACGAGAGGACCUGGGUGGACGAACCUCUGGUAUGCCGGUUGUCACGCCAGUGGCACGGCCGGUUGGCUACGUUCGGAAGGGAUAACCGCUGAAAGCAUCUAAGCGGGAAGCCUGCUCCAAGAUAAGCAUUCCGUGGAACCUUCGAGUUCCUGUAGUCCCCAUGCAGAACACGUGGUCGAUAGGCCGGACGUGGAAGCCCCGCGAGGGGUGGAGCCGACCGGUACUAACGGACGAAAGGCAACACUAA
rnacentral:rRNA from 1 species